rnacentral:rRNA from 1 species
CAGUAGCCGCGGUAAUACGAAGGGUGCAAGCGUUAAUCGGAAUUACUGGGCGUAAAGCGUGCGUAGGCGGUGAGUUAAGUCUGCUGUGAAAUCCCCGGGCUCAACCUGGGAAUGGCAGUGGAUACUGGCUCGCUAGAGUGUGUCAGAGGAUGGUGGAAUUCCUGGUGUAGCGGUGAAAUGCGUAGAGAUCGGGAGGAACAUCAGUGGCGAAGGCGGCCAUCUGGGACAACACUGACGCUGAGGCACGAAAGCGUGGGGAGCAAACAGGAUUAGAUACCCCCGUAGUCCCUGUCUCUUAUAC